AUAACAAAUACAAUAUCUACUCUAAACCUAUAGUAAUAUCGAAAUUCCUGGAACUUGCCUAAAUAGAAAUACCUAUAUCAAGUAGAUCCUAUGUUAUCUCGAACUUAUCUAAUAGUAUAGAAGAAGUUGUUUCAUAAAAUGGAAGAAUUGUUGAACUCUCCAGGGUGAAAAAAAUC